rnacentral:rRNA from 1 species
UGGGGAAUUUUGGACAAUGGGCGCAAGCCUGAUCCAGCCAUGCCGCGUGAGUGAAGAAGGCCUUCGGGUUGUAAAGCUCUUUCGGUUGGGAAGAAAUUGCUUCGGAUAAUACCCGGAGUAGAUGACGGUACCAGCAUAAGAAGCACCGGCUAACUACGUGCCAGCAGACGCGGUAAUACGUAGGGUGCGAGCGUUAAUCGGAAUUACUGGGCGUAAAGCGUGCGGAGGCGGUUGUGUAAGUCAGAUGUGAAAUCCCCGGGCUCAACCUGGGAACUGCAUUUGAGACUGCACGGCUAGAGUGUGGCAGAGGGGGGUAGAAUUCCACGUGUAGCAGUGAAAUGCGUAGAGAUGUGGAGGAAUACCGAUGGCGAAGGCAGCCCCCUGGGCCAAUACUGACGCUCAUGCACGAAAGCGUGGGGAGCAAACA